rnacentral:tRNA from 1 species
GUUUUCUUAGUUUAAAAAAAACGUUAAUCUUGUAAAUUAGAAUUUAAGAAAUUAAGAAAACU